ACAGUGUCUGGUGGGUAGUUUGACUGGGGCGGUCUCCUCCUAAAGAGUAACGGAGGAGCACGAAGGUUGGCUAAUCCUGGUCGGACAUCAGGAGGUUAGUGCAAUGGCAUAAGCCAGCUUGACUGCGAGCGUGACGGCGCGAGCAGGUGCGAAAGCAGGUCAUAGUGAUCCGGUGGUUCUGAAUGGAAGGGCCAUCGCUCAACGGAUAAAAGGUACUCCGGGGAUAACAGGCUGAUACCGCCCAAGAGUUCAUAUCGACGGCGGUGUUUGGCACCUCGAUGUCGGCUCAUCACAUCCUGGGGCUGAAGUAGGUCCCAAGGGUAUGGCUGUUCGCCAUUUAAAGUGGUACGCGAGCUGGGUUUAGAACGUCGUGAGACAGUUCGGUCCCUAUCUGCCGUGGGCGCUGGAGAAUUGAGGGGGGCUGCUCCUAGUACGAGAGGACCGGAGUGGACGCAUCACUGGUGUUCGGGUUGUCAUGCCAAUGGCACUGCCCGGUAGCUAAAUGCGGAAGAGAUAAGUGCUGAAAGCAUCUAAGCACGAAACUUGCCCCGAGAUGAGUUCUCCCUGACU
rnacentral:rRNA from 1 species